AGAGUUUGAUCAUGGCUCAGGACAAACGCUGGCGGCGUGCGUAAAACAUGCAAGUCGCACGGCCCCUUCGGGGGCAGUGGCAGACGGCUGAGUAACGCGUAGGAACCUGCCCCGGGGUGGGGGACAACCUCCCGAAAGGGGGGCUAAUACCGCAUACGGUCCCACUUUGGCGGGAAGAAAGCCCUUGGGUGCCCUGGGAGGGGCCUGCGUCCGAUUAGCUGGUUGGUGGGGUAAUGGCCUACCAAGGCACCGAUCGGUAGCUGGUCUGAGAGGAUGAUCAGCCAGACUGGGACUGGGACACGGCCCAGACUCCUACGGGAGGCAGCAGUUAGGAAUUUUGGGCAAUGGCCGCAAGGCUGACCCAGCAACGCCGCGUGGGGGACGAAGGCUCUCGGGUUGUAAACCCCUUUUGGCGGGGACGAUGAUGACGGUACCCGCCGAAUAAGCCCCGGCUAACUACGUGCCAGCAGCCGCGGUA
rnacentral:rRNA from 1 species